UGUGAGAUCGAAUCUGUUACGUAAGUAACUGAUUUUCAAUCUGUGCACAGCUCCAUAUAAGAUUUAUAACCGCCUCUGGUUGUGUCCUUUUGGAAUUAGAAGGAUAACGCAACCAAAUGUAGUGAUAAUACUUGAGUUUAUAAAUAAUAGAGUUUUAAGGAAUUAGCUCUAUUUACCAGAGUUUUUACUCUGGUGUUAACCGAUGGUCGAUCAGGCGGGUUUAUUACUCAUCAGUUAGUUAACUGUUUCAAUAACAGUUACAACUGUCACGAGUACGGGGAAUUAGUGUUCGAUUCCGGAGAAGGAGCCUGAGAAACAGCUACUAGUGCCAAGGCAUGCAGCAGGCGCGAAAAUUACCCAAUGCGAACACGUUCGCGAGGUAGUGAAAAGAAAUAAGCAUCUUUUCCUUAUUGGAAAAGAGUACUGGAAUUAUUUCCGGUUUACAAUGGCAACAUGUUAGAAUUAUGUUGGAGUAACAAUUGGAGGGAAAGUCAGGUGCCAGCAGCCGCGGUAAUACCUGCUCCAAUAGUGUAUGAUAACAUUGCUGCAGUUAAAACGUUCGUAGUCGCCAUAAGGAAUGGUAAAUCGAAGUCGAUUUGAUCGAUCUUGAGAAUAUACUAUCCAAAUAGUAUAUUUUCGAGUUCGCUUUGCGAAACCUUUUAGGUUUAUCGGUCUUUUCAUAGCAUCCUUGAUAAUAAUUCUUGAACAAAAGUUCAGAAUUAUUUUCGAUGGAUGUGAUUUCGAUUUACUAUUCUGAUUUUAACCCGUGAGCAAAUUAGUGCGAUCAAAGGAUGAUUAGUGAUGGUUUUCUUCUUCGGAAGAUGCCAUUUGUGAUGCAAUAUAUUAUAGCACGGAACCAGUUGUUCCGACUAAUUUUUUAGUCGGUACAGACAAUAGAACCAGGAGUAAGCUAUCGGUAUUUACUGAUGAGGGGUGAAAUCCGUAUAGUCAGUAAGGACCCACAAAGGCGAAAGCAGAUAGCUAGCACUGGUUCAUAUGAUGAGGAACGAGGGCCAGGGGAGCAAAGAUGAUUAGAUACCGUCGUAGUCCUGGCUGUAAACCAUACAAAUUCGAGAUUGUAUGAAACCAUAUAGAAGAUUUAUACAGCAUCCCAGAGAAAUCACAAAUUUUUGUGUUCUUGGGGGAGUAUAUUCGCAAGAACGAAACUUAAAGGAAUUGACGGAAAUUCACCACCAGGAGUGGAUUCUGCGGCUUAAUUCGACUCAACACGUGGAAACUUACCAGAAUCAGACCAUAUUAAGAUUGACAGGUUAAUGACCUUUCUUGAUUUAUGAAAUAGUGGUGCAUGGUCGUUCUCAGUUCGUGGAUUGGUCUGUCUACUUAAUUGUGAUAACGAGCGAGACCUCCGUUAUUAAUUAGCAACAGCCGUAAUUCCUAUUGGUGGAAUCGGUGAUUGGAUAUUAUAUCCGUCUUCUUAAUAAGACUCUACUCGAUUAAGUAAAACAGAGUAUGGAAGUUGGAGGCCAUAACAGAUCUGUUAUGCCCUUAUAUAUUCUGGGCGGCACGCGUAAAACAAUGUUUUUGCCAAUAAGUGUGCGCCAAAAGCUUUCCAAAUUUGAAAAAAUAAGGAAAGCUAUGGAAUCCUUGAUUUCAAGGCUGGGAUUGAAGAUUGUAAGUUCUUCAUAAACCAGGAAUUCCUAGUAAUCGCAAAUCAACAAUUUGC
rnacentral:rRNA from 1 species